GGCCAGCAGCCGCGGUAAUACGUAGGUGGCAAGCGUUGUCCGGAUUUAUUGGGUUUAAAGGGUGCGUAGGCGGCUUUGUAAGUCAGUGGUGAAAGACGGCAGCUCAACUGUCGAGGUGCCAUUGAUACUGCAGAGCUAGAGUACUGAUGAGGUAGGCGGAAUGGACGGUGUAGCGGUGAAAUGCUUAGAUAUCGUCCAGAACACCGAUAGCGAAGGCAGCUUACUAAGGAGUAACUGACGCUGAGGCACGAAAGUGUGGGGAUCAAACAGGAUUAGAUACCCUGGUAGUCCACACUGUAAACGUUGAUCACUAGAUGUUGGCGAUAUACUGCCAGCGUUCCAGCAAAAGCGAUAAGUGAUCCACCUGGGGAGUACGCCCGCAAGGGUGAAACUCAAAGGAAUUGACGGGGGCCCGCACA
rnacentral:rRNA from 1 species